CUGAUUCCAGAUGAAGAGCUUGUCUCCUAUAUCCUUGCUGGACUGGACAUGGAAUACUAGCCCCUGGUGUCCGCACUCGAUGCCCGCACCACCAUGGUCUCCCUCGAUGAUUUGUUUGCUCAGAUGAGCAACUUCGAUC
rfam:Hordeum vulgare subsp. vulgare, WGS project CAJW01000000 data, contig: morex_contig_118364